AUUGAACGCUGGCGGCAGGCUUAACACAUGCAAGUCGAGCGAGCGGCGGACGGGUGAGUAAUGUCUGGGAAACUGCCUGAUGGAGGGGGAUAACUACUGGACACGGUAGCUAAUAACGCAUACCAUCAGAUGUGCCCAGAUGGGAUUAGCUAGCAGGUGGGGUAAUGGAUCACCUAGGCGACGAGCCCUAGCUGGUCUGAGAGGAUGACCAGCCAAAAGGGCACUGAGACACGGUCCAGACUCCUACGGGAGGCAGCAGUGGGGAAGAUUGCACAAUGGGCGCAAGCCUGAUGCAGCCAUGCCGCGUGUGUGAAGAAGGCCUUCGGGUUGUAAAGCACUUUCAGCGAGGAGGCGUUACUCGCAGAAGAAGCACCGGCUAACUCCGUGCCAGCCGCCGCGGUAAUUC
rnacentral:rRNA from 1 species